rnacentral:lncRNA from 1 species
CAGGAAGCCAUGGGAGAAAGAGACCAGCUCUGGGGGGUGUGGCGGGGCUGUGGGAGAAGGGAGCAGGCUCUGGGGGGUGCCUCCAGCCGCCGCCAGGGCUUGUCGGGGGGGAGGUGUACAGUGGGGAUGUGUGGGAACGGGGGCAGGCCCACCGGGGAGCAGGAGGCUAGCUGUGGGGACGGCUCCUGUCCGUGCGGGGGGAGGCGGGCCAGAGAGGGGUCUGAGACAGCUGUGGGUGUGCCUAGGCACAGGUGUGCCACCGCGGGGGGCUGCGCAGCGCUGGGGGUGCCUGCCACAGUGCCUGCCGCCGUGUGGGCAGCAGACCCCGCGUGGCAGGAGGGCAGCUCCAGACAUGGGCCGAGCCUAUGGAGGAUGGCUCAGGCUGCCGCAAGACCCCCAGUGUCGGGGGGCCCUGUGGAGCGGGAGCCUGGCUCCGGGGCUUUCCUGGGCUCCUGGGGAAGGAGACAGGCUGUUGGGGUCCCUGUGGUUCCUGAGGUGCUUGGACUUGUAGGGGAGACCGGCUCUGAGGAUGUCCCAAGGUGCUGGAGAAGGCGGCAGAGUGACAGGUUUCCCAUGGCCACUGAGGGGCCUGCGGCUCCCGGGACACCUGGUGCUCUGGAGGCGGAGACUGAGUCUGGGGGUCUCUCAGACCUCCUGGGAAGGAGGCCGACCACAGGAAUACCUGCGAUGGCCGGGUUAGCCCCAGCCGGGGGGGUGCCCGUGGCUCCCAGGACCCCUGGGCCUGUGCAGGAGGAAGCUGGCUGUGGAGGCUACUCUGGUUUGUGGGGGAGGAGAGAGAACGUGGAGGGCCGAGCGGAUGCCAAGGGCCCCACGAGGGUAGGGGUGCCCACCUCUGCGAGGUUGCUUGGGCCCGCGGGGGAGAAGACCGGCUCAGGGGGCAUCUCGUGCUUGCUGGGAGGGAGGCAGGCUGCAGGGGUGCCCUUGGCUGUGGGGGCCGAGGUACUCUCAGGGUGUGUCCUGGACACGUUAGGGAGAAGAGAGACUGCAGAGGUGCCUGCGGUUGCCCUGGGGGUGCCCGUGGCUUCUGGGGUCCCCGGGUCAACAGUGGGGUGUGCUAGCUCUGAGGGGAGCUUGGGCAUGUGGAGGAGGAGGCCAGCCACUGAGAUGCCCACUGCUGCUGGGGUUCCCGGGCCUGUGGUGGGGGAGAUGGCCUCCGAAGGUGUCUCUAGCCUGUGGGGGAGGAGACACAGUGGGGCAGCCCCUGGGACUGUGAGGGGGUCUCUGCCUGUGGGGGUGCUCGCGGCUGUAGGUGUGCCCACGGCGGGGCGUGCGCCUGCUGCAGUGUGGGUGACCGCGUCCACAGCGGAAGAGCCUCAGAAUAAGCGAUCGUGGACGCCUGCCUUCACCCGCCUGUAGAUACGUCUGUCUAAGGAAAUCCUGUCCCUAAACCUUGCAUUUAUUCAAACGCUUACAUUAGGGAGUUGGUUUUUUUUUUUUUUUUUUUCUAACCUGGAAUU